UGAACCAGACCAAGUAGCGUGCAUGAUGGACGGCCUAGGGUGGUAAACUUGCUUUUGUGUGGGGAGUAAAGUGGGGCACGCGUGCCUUUUUGCAUUUACCCUUCGAAUAAGGACCGGCUAAUUCCGUGCCAGCAGCCGCGGUAAUACGGAAGGUCCAGGCGUUAUCCGGAUUUAUUGGGUUUAAAGGGAGUGUAGGCGGUCUGUUAAGCGUGUUGUGAAAUUUAGGUGCUCAACAUCUACCUUGCAGCGCGAACUGGCGGACCUGAGUGCACGCAACGUAUGCGGAACUCAUGGUGUAGCGGUGAAAUGCUUAGAUAUCAUGACGAACUCCGAUUGCGAAGGCAGCGUACGGGAGUGUUACUGACGCUUAAGCUCGAAGGUGCGGGUAUCGAACAGGAUUAGAUACCCUGGUAGUCCGCACGGUAAACGAUGGAUGCCCGCUGUUAGCGCCUGGCGUUAGCGGCUAAGCGAAAGCAUUAAGCAUCCCACCUGGGGAGUACGCCGGCAACGGUGAAACUCAAAGGAAUUGACUGGGGCCCGCACAAGCGGAGGAACAUGUUGU
rnacentral:rRNA from 1 species